rnacentral:lncRNA from 1 species
UGGUUCGGGUCAGAAGACGUCCAGAUCCCGGCAAGAUUGCAGAAGGCUCUCCGGCGUUACUCCGACGACUCUCCAGCAACACUCCGGAAACGUACCAGCAGUCUUUUUACCAGCGACCUUACUCCGCCAACGAUUUUUGACAUCAAAUUGACGGAACUAGCAGCUAGCAGGCGUACCGGUGACAUCUACACUUUUUGGCAUUUAGCCACUUCAGUCAGUUUUUGAUUUCCUGUAUAUUAUUUUGCUGUCGUGUCCUUGUCUCUUGUUACGGCUUCUAUUUCAAUUUUUUGGCAUUCUUCCUGUUGCUUGUGUGAGUAGUAGUGUCUGGCUGCUUUGUUUGGAGAUUGUUGUUGAGUUGUGUUUUGGAUUAGUACAUCGCUUGACUUAGUAUUAAUUUGUGGGGUAGACUUUUUCCGCGAUGAUUCCAUCUACUUUACUUGUACCUUCCUUUUCCUGUUGUUGCUUUAUUACUGUCNNN